rnacentral:lncRNA from 1 species
CUCACUUCAAUGUCGAAGAUGAAGCUGGGAUGGACGAAAAUAAACAAAAGACUACUGCCACAGAACCAAGAUCCGACCCCGUUCAUAUCCCGAAAUUUUGAAAAAAUAAAGCUAAAAGCCCCCCCCACACACACACACAACCUGCGCUGGUAUUUGCAAUAUUUGGGCUGGGAAAAACCAACUUGAGAUUUCAUAAUAUUCGAAAUUUCUUGUUUAACCCCCGUAAUUAGUUACUUUAAUAUCGGACUUUUGCUAUUUUAAGAAAAUGAAAAAUCCCAUUUGAGAUACAAAACAGAUUGAUCAUUUGGUGAUGGGCAUGUCGAGAUUGGCAAUGCGAAUGAUGAUUUUGGUGCUAUGGUGUUUCUGGGCAGAAGCAGAGUUUAUGAAAUACAAAGACCCAAAGCAGCCAUUGAAGGUCAGAAUCAAGGACUUGAUGAGAAGAAUGACACUUGAAGAGAAAAUUGGGCAGAUGACUUAGAUUGAUAGAGAGAUUGCAUUCCCAGGAAUCAUCAUCAAGUACUUCAUUGGUAUGUGAUAGAUCCUAAUAAAGAUAGAUUCUAAAAUGUUCACUAGUUAGUUAGUAAGAGAGGUAAAAAUGUAAUAGGCUAUAGUAAGGGAUUGCCUGUAAAUAAAAGGGAAAAGAAUGGGAAAGGCAUGCAAAAUAUUGAGUAGUUGGUUGAGCCAAUUAGGAGAGAUCCAGCCUCUCGAAUUGCUUGGAGCUGUUAUUCAGUUCAAUAAACUUGUUAUUAUUUUCUCAAUUACAAAUC